rnacentral:lncRNA from 1 species
UAGGGGGUUACACUGGACCCAUAUAGCCCGCGGGUGUUUAAGGACGGUUAAGCUACACAUACCCAGGUUAAUGGUUUCAAAUGCAUGCUAAACCCGGUUCCCUUCCCCGGCAUAGUGUGAUAUAUAUAUGUGUGUGUGUGUAUUUCUGUAGUUUGUAUGCAUAUGGUUGGUUUACUUAGUUUUACUGGAUGGCAUUAAUUUAUCCUUAUCCUGAGUUCAUGCUAGCGUUCACCUGGUAACCUAUCUUCGGGCAG